UGCGCACUUAAUCAGUCCGAAGUGCGCACUUAAUCAGUCCCAAAUGCGCACAAUCGCGAAAUGCGCACUUAAUUCCAUUUCUUGGAGAAAAAUAACAUACAGUAGUAUCGACCUGUGACUGACGCUAAACUGUAACAAUGCCUUUGACGUGACAGAAAGACACACACUUCUUGGUGCCGUGGACACUCAACCCUGCGACGUUGCCACAUCAGCCAAAUACAUUCCACAAUAACUUAACAAAGAUGUCAGAGAGAAGCAAUCGUAGCUCUGUUCGCCUUGCUUGACACUGAAAAAUAAGAGCAAGAUUUGAGUACUAACCACAAAGCAGCUUUGAGGUUUUGGCUGUGAAAAUUCGCCUUGUGGUGACCACGGGAAUCGGGCGACAUCGACAGAUGUGUACAGUGAAACGAAAAUAUACGUAAGAUUUAUGCCUACUGUCAUGCACAAUUGUGAGCCUGGUCACAGUGAGCAAUGCACUCUGGGCUGAUGACGUGUAAUGGUCGCUCGGUACACUCGCGGUGUAGUUUCUUCACUCUUGUUGAUGUUAUAUUGCUGUUGCCUGAAGGAAAUUUUAGUGAAUGUGUCACAGAUCUUUGCCAUCAGUUGGAGCCGGAGUACUCUUCAAGUGAAAUAGUAGACGAAGAAUAUUGAGAAGCGCCAGGUUUUAAUUCUGAAUGAUGUCGACUGCCGAUCGAAGACAGGAAACUAGAAGUCGAUGUAAGGAACAUUUUGAGCAUUUUAAGCGUUAUCUGAAAAAAGAGUGGGGGUUCCCUUUAAGACGAGGAAUAACGGAAUGUCCUAAAACGCGGAAUGCCCUUUGUAUGAAACAAAAGUUUCCUAAAAAUGGAAUUGCAUUAAAUAGGAAAAUCACUUAUAAUUAACAGGCGAAAUUAAUAAAAGCAUAGGCAAUCAUUGUUGGAGCCCAUGGCCUUUCUAGUCAGCACCUUUAAUUAUUGUAAUAUCAAGCCCCGGGAAAUAUUUUGGAUAUAUCAACAGAGUUGAAACGGUAAAUUGGCCACCGUAGCGAUUACAA